rnacentral:rRNA from 1 species
GAUGAACGCUAGCGGCAGGCCUAAUACAUGCAAGUCGAACGGGAUCCAGAUCAAAGCUUGCUUUGGUUUGGUGAGAGUGGCGUACGGGUGCGUAACGCGUGAGCAACCUACCCUUGUCAGGGGGAUAGCCCGGCGAAAGUCGGAUUAAUACCGCAUGACAUCAUUGAGAGGCAUCUUUCGAUGAUCAAAGAUUUAUCGGACAAGGAUGGGCUCGCGUGACAUUAGCUAGUUGGUAAGGUAACGGCUUACCAAGGCUACGAUGUCUAGGGGCUCUGAGAGGAGAAGCCCCCACACUGGUACUGAGACACGGACCAGACUCCUACGGGAGGCAGCAGUAAGGAAUAUUGGUCAAUGGACGGAAGUCUGAACCAGCCAUGCCGCGUGCAGGAAGACGGCCCUAUGGGUUGUAAACUGCUUUUAUACGGGAACAAACGUCGGUACGUGUACCGGUCUGAGUGUACCGUAAGAAUAAGGAUCGGCUAACUCCGUG